UCUUCCCGGAGGGAGAGCGGGCUGGGGGUAUGGUGGUAUGUGUGUUUCCUCGGUGUCUCGUGGAAGGCGCGUGUGGGCCGAGUGUGAGUGGACGCGUGACUGUGUGGAUGUGCGCGUGGGGCGUGCAAGGCGAGUGUGUGCGCCCGCCCCUGAGCCCCUCUCUCCCGCUUACACCUUGAUCUUAUUUGAUCGGGUUGUGACCCUUUGCCCCGCCAGGCCGUCCCGAAAUGAAAAGCUCCCCUCCUGCGAAGCCUCCCUCUUGGGGGGCGCUGUGCAGCGAGGCCACUUUGGCGGCGGCGUCGCCGCGGUCCCUGAGCCGGUCUUACGGGACCCGGCGCUCAGAAGUGAUGAAUUGAUCAGAUAGACGAGGCCAGGCUAGUCCCGGGCCACUGAUUAUCGAGGCGAUUCUGAUCUGA
rnacentral:snoRNA from 1 species